UACGGAGGGUGCAAGCGUUAUCCGGAUUCACUGGGUUUAAAGGGCGCGUAGGUGGCCCGGCAAGCGUGCGGUGAAAGUCGGGGGCUCAACCCCCGAUCGGCCGUGCGAACUGCGGGGCUGGAGCACUGUAGAGGCAGGCGGAAUUCCGGGUGUAGCGGUGGAAUGCGUAGAGAUCCGGAAGAACACCGGUGGCGAAGGCGACAUCCUGGACCGGUAUUGACGCUGAGGCGCGAAAGCCAGGGGAGCAAACGGG
rnacentral:rRNA from 1 species